UACGUAGGGGGCAAGCGUUGUCCGGAUUUAUUGGGCGUAAAGAGCUCGUAGGCGGUUUGGUAAGUCAGGUGUGAAAUCUCCACGCUCAACGUGGAGGGGCCACCUGAUACUGCCAUGACUGGAGUCCGGUAGAGGAGUGUGGAAUUCCCGGUGUAGCGGUGAAAUGCGCAGAUAUCAGGAGGAACACCAAUAGCGAAGGCAGCUCGCUGGGACGGUACUGACGCUAAGGCGCGAAAGCGUGGGGAGCGAACAGG
rnacentral:rRNA from 1 species